GACGGAGGAUGCAAGUGUUAUCCGGAAUCACUGGGCGUAAAGCGUCUGUAGGUGGUUCAAUAAGUCAACUGUUAAAUCUUGAGCUCAACCUCAAAAUCGCAGUCGAAACUAUUAAACUAGAGUAUAGUAGGGGUAAAGGGAAUUUCCAGUGGAGCGGUGAAAUGCGUAGAGAUUGGAAAGAACACCGAUGGCGAAGGCACUUUACUGGUCUAUUACUAACACUGAGAGACGAAAGCUAGGGUAGCAAAUGGG
rnacentral:rRNA from 1 species